UACGUAGGGUGCAAGCGUUAAUCGGAAUUACUGGGCGUAAAGCGUGCGCAGGCGGUGAUGUAAGACAGAUGUGAAAUCCCCGGGCUCAACCUGGGAACUGCAUUUGUGACUGCAUCGCUGGAGUGCGGCAGAGGGGGGAUGGAAUUCCGCGUGUAGCAGUGAAAUGCGUAGAUAUGCGGAGGAACACCGAUGGCGAAGGCAAUCCCCUGGGCCUGCACUGACGCUCAUGCACGAAAGCGUGGGGAGCAAACAGG
rnacentral:rRNA from 1 species